rnacentral:rRNA from 1 species
GACAGAGGAUGCAAGCGUUAUCCGGAAUGAUUGGGCGUAAAGCGUCUGUAGGUGGCUUUUCAAGUCCGCCGUCAAAUCCCAGGGCUCAACCCUGGACAGGCGGUGGAAACUACCAAGCUGGAGUACGGUAGGGGCAGAGGGAAUUCCUGGUGUAGCGGUGAAAUGCGCAGAUAUCAGGAGGAACACCAGUGGCGAAGGCGGUGCUCUGGGCCGGUACUGACGCUGAGGCGCGAAAGCGUGGGGAGCAAACAGG